rnacentral:rRNA from 1 species
GUCUUUUUGAUUAUAAUUUAAAGUCUAACCUGCCCAAUGAGGAAUUGAAUGGCCGCGGUAAUUUGACCGUGCAAAGGUAGCAUAAUCAUUAGUUUUUUAAUUGAAAGCUGGAAUGAACGGUUGGACGAGAAAAUAACUGUCUCAAUUUAAUUGAAUAUAGAAUUUUAUUUAUAAGUAAAAAAGCUUAUAUGAUUUUAAAAGACGAGAAGACCCUAUAGAGUUUUAUAUUUUACUAUAUUGAUUAAGCUUAGUAUAUUUACAUUUUUAAUAUAGUAAGGUAUUUUGCUGGGGCAGCAGAAAAAUUUAAUAAACUUUUUUUACUAUUACUACAUUAGUUUAUGGUUAAAUGAUCCAUUAUUUAUGAUUACAAGAUUAAAUUACCUUAGGGAUAACAGCGUAAUUUUUUUUUAGAGUUCUUAUCGAAAAAAGAGUUUGCGACCUCGAUGUUGGAUUAAAAUUAACUUUUGGUGUAGGGGCUAAAAGGUUAGGUCUGUUCGACCUUUAAAAUUUUACA